rnacentral:rRNA from 1 species
GAUGAACGCUGGCGGCGUGCCUAAUACAUGCAAGUCGAGCGAACGGACGAGAAGCUUGCUUCUCUGAUGUUAGCGGCGGACGGGUGAGUAACACGUGGAUAACCUAUCUAUAAGACUGGGAUAACUUCGGGAAACCGGAGAUAAUACCGGAUAAUAUUUUGAACCGCAUGGUUCAAAAGUGAAAGACGGUCUUGCUGUCACUUAUAGAUGGAUCCGCGCUGCAUUAGCUAGUUGGUAAGGUAACGGCUUACCAAGGCAACGAUGCAUAGCCGACCUGAGAGGGUGAUCGGCCACACUGGAACUGAGACACGGUCCAGACUCCUACGGGAGGCAGCAGUAGGGAAUCGUCCGCAAUGGGCGAAAGCCUGACGGAGCAACGCCGCGUGAGUGAUGAAGGUCUUCGGAUCGUAAAACUCUGUUAUUAGGGAAGAACAUAUGUGUAAGUAACUGGGCACAUCUUGACGGUACCGAAUCAGAAAGCCACGGCUAACUACGUG